rnacentral:lncRNA from 1 species
GACUUCUGUUUCUAGAUGAAGCAACUGCAUCUGUAGAUUCCCAAACCGAUUCAGUGAUUCAGAAGAUCAUCAGAGAAGACUUUGCUUCGUGUACCAUAAUCAGCAUCGCUCACCGGAUUCCUACAGUGAUGGACGGGGAUCGAGUCCUGGUCAUAGACGAAGGUAAAGAGAAGCACAACAUAUGUAUUUUCAGUCAUACAAAUUCAAAACUUAUGAUGAUAAGUAACUUAUAAAUGGAAAUCUAAAACAGGAAAAGCGAAAGAGUUUGAUAGCCCGGCUCGUUUACUGGAGAGGCAGUCUCUGUUUGCAGCGCUGGUGCAAGAGUACGCUCUCCGAUCUAGCGGAAUAUGAAAACUUUUGACACCGGCCGGGACUGGAAGUUUAUUGUUAAAAGUUGCUAAAUUUCUAAAAACAUUUUUAACUAACACAAGAAGAAUAUCGAGAUUGUUUCUUGUGUAAUUUAUGAGACAAAAUCUAGAUAGUGAAAUGCUUUUGAUCAAAACGACAUCACUGAUUCACGGCAUAAAACAACACAACUACACAAGGAUGAGAGAAAGCUAAGAAAAAGCUUAAUAUCGUACUCUAGAGUCACACUUCUCUGCAAUCUUCCAAUCUCCAAAGUUGUAGAUUUCAAACCUUUUUUUUUUCCCUCUCUGUGAUUGUGUUUUAUCUUUACUAAUGACUCUUUUUGUAUUUUUCCCUCUCUUCUAAAAAUAUAACCUUUGUGGUAAUGAUUAGCUAAAAAUGGCAAAAGACAAGUCAACUGUCGUUGUCCUUGAUGUGGAAAAUUUACUGGAAUAUCAAGUAUGGACCAUCUUUUCAUAUAGUUGAAGAAAGCCCCAAAUUUUGCAAAGAUAGUUGACGAGUAGCAUUCUACCUUAGAUUUGUUAGAACAGCUUGUAUAUGUAGACACAGAAUGUGGUCAGAUCUCAAUCAAACUUCUACGAGCUAGAAUGCUUGUCGGGUGCGUCAUUUGCAGGCACACCACCACAAAUCCUGCGCAUUCUGUAACAAAUAAGAAUCAUCAGGCAUAAUAAUAGCGAAGAACAUCAUCAAAAUUUGGCAAGCAAUUGAACAUAAGAUAGAGAUGAUACAAGUCACUCUCUAAACUGAAUUGGAAUAAACAGUUUGGUGAGUUUCAUGUCUAAGCAAUAUAAAAGUCUAUUCAAGCAACAAAGAAUGAUCUCAUUUAGAUUCCAAGAAAUGGCACGACAUUACCGAAACUGAGAGUUAAAAAAGAAAAGGCACACUUAGCGAGUAACGCAGGAAUCGAAACAAUAGCUCAGCGAGAACAAAGAAAAAAAAAAGAACCAGUGAUUAAUUGUUCAGUUUUUUCGAAGCUAUGACGAAGCAAUUAUGGAUUAAAUUAGGACUUUUUACCAUUGGAGGAUGACGAAGAAGACAGAGACAUCAUGCCCAAUUAG